rnacentral:rRNA from 1 species
CCUACGGGCGGCAGCAGUGAGGAAUAUUGGUCAAUGGACGAGAGUCUGAACCAGCCAAGUAGCGUGAAGGAUGACUGCCCUAUGGGUUGUAAACUUCUUUUAUAUGGGAAUAAAACGUUCCACGUGUGGGAUUUUGUAUGUACCAUAUGAAUAAGGAUCGGCUAACUCCGUGCCAGCAGCCGCGUUAAUACGGAGGAUCCGAGCGUUAUCCGGAUUUAUUGGGUUUAAAGGGAGCGUAGGUGGAUUGUUAAGUCAGUUGUGAAAGUUUGCGGCUCAACCGUAAAAUUGCAGUUGAAACUGGCAGUCUUGAGUACAGUAGAGGUGGGCGGAAUUCGUGGUGUAGCGGUGAAAUGCUUAGAUAUCACGAAGAACUCCGAUUGCGAAGGCAGUUCACUGGACUGCAACUGACACUGAGGCUCGAAAGUGUGGGUAUCAAACAGGAUUAGAUACCCUUGUAGUC